CGAAAAUUAUUUUGCAUUUAUCGGCUAAAAAUGGAAGCUGGGUUUAUCAAAGCAGAUUCUAGGAAUCUACCAAAAGUUAGCGUAGACAUGGUUGUAACUUUUUUAUGGAAAGUGCGGAGUUUUCGAGUGUAGAAAUAAUAUGGCGAUAACCCAAUCGGCUAUGUUCAAAUCAAAAUAGAUGGAGAAUUAUGUAUAGUAAAAAGUCGAGUUACGCCGGAGCAUGAAAUACGUAAAGAAGGUUAUCGUGUUACAGCCAUUAUAAAUGAAACGCAAAGCUUGGUUCAGUCCUGCCAAUGCGAAGAUUGUGCGGCUUCUGAAGGUGGGUGUAAGCAUGCUGCUGCACUAUUGCUAUGGUUACACAGAAGAUCUGAGGAGCCUCCGAUAACGUCCAUAACAUGUUAUUGGAAAAAUACAAAAUUAUCUAUAUGUACUUCUAGAAAAUCAUUUAUAAAAGCGAUACAAUGCUUUUAUAAAUGAAGUUAUGAAUGCUGCAAAGAAAUUCUGGAUAGAUGCUGUGUUUCCAAAAUUAAAAGAUAUUAAUUACAUGUUUUUUCUGUAACCAUUUUGUAGAUAUAUAAAACUUUGUUUUUUAAAUACUUUUUUUAUUCAAUUUUAAUUAAAGGUGAUUGCAAAUUGACAAGCGCACAACAAAUGAUUAUACUAUAGUCUAAAUGGGGAAUUAGGAAAUGAUAAACACAGGCAUGUGGCUUCAAAAA